AAUGGUUUGAUACCAGCUCAUCUGUGAAUACCUCUGAGUUAGUUAUAUCCCAAUCUAUGUUAUAGAUUGAUCAAUGUGAAGAUAAGAUGAAAGAGUUAUAAGCAUCACCAUGAGCUCCUGAAAAAAAAUGUUGGAAGUCUGUUGGAUGCAGUGAGGUGGUCUUUCAAUUCAUUUCCUCAUGUGCCUACUAAAAUGAUGUUCCUAUCAAGCAGAGAGGUCCGAGUUAAAUAGGCUGGAAAAGAGUUGCAUCAAAUAACUGAAUGACUCAAUAGGCUUUGGCUGUGGGAUCAAAAUUCUAGGACCCAUCAAUCAGCUGUGAAAACCUCAGCAACCACUGGAUGGCAGUAGGAAAAGACAUAAGACAUCGAAAUUCAAAGCUUUUACAGAAGCAUGCUUCAAAGUUUAGAUUUUGGGAGACAGUUGAAGAGUGCAUGACAAGUGCUGAUUUAAGAUAUAAUGUGGAUAGUUACACUUCUAGGAAGACUUCUAGGAAAAACCUAAUUUAUUGACUGUGUUCAAUUACAUGUUUGCCAUAAAGUCAAUUUCCUUAGAACCCUGGAUAUACUUAUAAACUAAGCACAUGGGAAAACUUCAUCCAGCAUGAUUAAUUAGUUUCUGUGCCAGUAUAAAGUGUAAAUAAAGGCAUCAAAUGACUGCCACAUACAGGCUGAAUAUCA